UAAUAAGUGUUUUAUGGCACUUUUUAAAUCCAUAUCCACCUUGUGUGCAAUGUCAGUCGAUCUUCUUCAUGGAGAUCGACCAAACAUCAACCUUUAUCUUUUAACUCUUUGUCUGAAAAUAUUAUGAGUAAACAAUUCAAAAUA
rnacentral:misc_RNA from 1 species